CGCCUGCGUGAAGUUGGAAUCGCUAGUAAUCGCGGAUCAGCAUGCCGCGGUGAAUACGUUCCCGGGCCUUGUACACACCGCCCGUCACACCAUGAGAGUCGGGAACACCCGAAGUCCGUAGUCUAACCGCAAGGGGGACGCGGCCGAAGGUGGGUUCGAUAAUUAGGGUGAAGUCGUAACAAGGUACC
rnacentral:rRNA from 1 species